UGGGGAAUAUUGGACAAUGGGCGCAAGCCUGAUCCAGCCAUGCCGCGUGGAUGAAGAAGGCCCUAGGGUUGUAAAAUCCUUUCGCUAGGGAAGAUAAUGACGGUACCUAGACAAGAAGCCCCGGGUAAUUUCGAGCCAGCAGCCGCGGUAAUACGAAAGGGGCUAGCGAUGUUCGGAAUUACUGGGCGUAAAGCGCAGGUAGGCGGUCUUGUAAGUUGGGGGUGAAAUCCCGGGGCUCAACCCCGGAACUGCCUUCAAAACUACAAAGCUAGAGGAUGUGAGAGGUGAGCGGAAUUCCGAGUGUAGAGGUGACAUUCGUAGAUAUUCGGAAGAACACCAGUGGCGAAGGCGGCUCACUGGCACAUUUCUGACGCUGAGGUGCGAAAGCGUGGGGAGCAAACAGGAUUAGAUACCCCGGUAGUCC
rnacentral:rRNA from 1 species